GGCCCUUUUUUUCUCCAGCUCGCCAGCGAGGACGGUCGCACAGCAAUCGGCAGCAAUAGGCAGCGUGAAGCCGAAGGACCAUCAUCACCGCCGGAUACAUCACCGUGCCAGCUUUAGCAAGCGUCAACGCCGGGCACGUUAGUUUCACCCGUUUUCAUCACCGCCGUGCCAACUUCAUCAAGCGUCAACGCCGGGCACGCUAAUUUCACCCGUUUUCAUCAACGCCGUCUACAUCGCCGUACCAGCUUUAACAAGCGUCAACGCCGGGCACGUUAAUUCCGUUUAUUUCCGUCGCCGUGCCAGUUUCAACAAGCGUCAACACCUGGCUCAUAGAUUCCGUUUAUUUCCGUCGCCGUGCCAGUUUCAACAAGCGUCACCGCCUGAUUCAUCAAUCCCGUUUAUUUCCAUCGCCGUGCCAGUUUCAACAAGCGUCAACACCUGGCUCAUAAAUUCCGUUUAUUUCCGUCAUCGUGCGAGGUUCAACAAGCGUCACCGCCUGACUCAUCAAUCCCGUUUAUUUCCAUCGCGCUGGUCUGGCUGUCCGCAUAAGGAGUGGGGGUGUGGAUAUAACUUUACGAGGAUAAAA